rnacentral:rRNA from 1 species
CACGGAGUUAGCCGGUGCUUCCUUUGAAGGUACCGUCAAUACGCGGCUGAUUAGCACCACGCACUUUCUUCCCUUCUGACAGAGGUUUACGAUCCGAAAACCUUCAUCCCUCACGCGGCGUCGCUGCGUCAGGCUUUCGCCCAUUGCGCAAUAUUCCCCACUGCUGCCUCCCGUAGGAGUCUGGACCGUGUUUCAGUUCCAGUGUGGCCGAUCAUCCUCUCAGAUCGGCUACCCCAUCGUCGCCUUGGUAGGCCGUUACCCCACCAACAAGCUAAUGGGACGCGGACUCAUCCUCAUACGACAGCUUGCAUGCAGAGGCCGUCUUUCCUCCAAAUGUUCAUCCAGAGCGUAUCCGGUAUUAGCAGUCGUUUCCAACUGUUAUCCCGAUCAUGAGGGCAGAUUGUCCACGCGUUACUCACCCGUGCGCCACUCUACUCACGGCCGAAGCCGCUUUCGCGUUCGACUUGCAUGUGUUAAGCACGCCGCC